CUCCGUGACUCCUACGGGAGGCAGCAGUGGGGAAUAUUGCACAAUGGGGGAAACCCUGAUGCAGCCAUGCCGCGUGUGUGAAGAAGGCCUUCGGGUUGUAAAGCACUUUCAGUAGGGAGGAAGGUAGUGUAGUUAACACCUGCAUUAUUUGACGUUACCUACAGAAGAAGCACCGGCUAACUCCGUGCCAGCAGCCGCGGUAAUACGGAGGGUGCGAGCGUUAAUCGGAAUUACUGGGCGUAAAGCGCAUGCAGGCGGCCUGUUAAGUCAGAUGUGAAAGCCCGGGGCUUAACCUCGGAAUUGCAUUUGAAACUGGCAGGCUAGAGUCUUGUAGAGGGGGUAGAAUUUCAGGUGUAGCGGUGAAAUGCGUAGAGAUCUGAAGGAAUACCAGUGGCGAAGGCGGCCCCCUGGACAAAGACUGACGCUCAGAUGCGAAAGCGUGGGGAGCAAACAGGAUUAGAUACCCUGGUAG
rnacentral:rRNA from 1 species